rnacentral:rRNA from 2 species
UAGGGAAUAUUGCACAAUGGGCGAAAGCCUGAUGCAGCAACGCCGCGUGCGCGAUGAAGGCCUUCGGGUCGUAAAGCGCUUUUCGGGGAGAUGAGGAAGGACAGUAUCCCCGGAAUAAGUCUCGGCUAACUACGUGCCAGCAGCCGCGGUAACACGUAGGAGGCAAGCGUUAUCCGAAUUUACUGGGCGUAAAGCGCGUGCAGGCGGUUCGGUAAGUUGGAUGUGAAAUCUCCCGGCUCAACUGGGAGAGGUCGUUCAAUACUGUCGGACUAGAGGAUGGUAGAGGGAGGUGGAAUUCCCGGUGUAGUGGUGAAAUGCGUAGAUAUCGGGAGGAACACCAGUGGCGAAGGCGGCCUCCUGGACCAUUCCUGACGCUCAGACGCGAAAGCUAGGGGAGCGAACGGG